CCUCCUCCCAUCCCAUCGCAGCUGUCUAUAAUAAUUUUGAUCCUGUCAAAAAAUUAAUUUGGACUGCUUUUUUUGUUGGGUUUUUAGCUGUGGAGGUCAAAGUUAAGUUAGAGUCAACAUGUGACAUCUUGAAUUGACAUCACGUCACAUGCAUAUAAACAUGUAGCAGUGAACCUUCUCUCCUUUGGGUUUCCUGUCGUGAUGUCACCGAGCAGCUAUGCAGUCAGGGCUACUUACUCAGUGGCGGUGGGUGACGUCUAUCAGCCCAGCAGACGGACGGACGGAUCCAGAGGUGAGGUCAGGCGGACUAGUUUAGGUUCGGCCGUGGAGACCAGAAAACCAUACCUACUGAACGCGAUCAGCGAUUUUCACCAGCAGUCCUUCAACGAAUUACCAUCCAAAGGUCCGUUUAUACAUAAAGUGACGUUUAACAAAACUUACCUCCGCAGUGGAGAGCGCCAGGGAGAGGAGCACGAGAGCAGCGGCGCUCCGGAACAUCUGGACGAGGGAGAGGGUUCGGUCAGAGACACCAAAGUUCAUUACGUUCAACUGCGUGGAAAACCAACAUUUAAGAUAACCCAGGAACAUGGCCAAACAAAGCGUGAGGUAUCCCCCGGACCCGGCGCUGGUUCCUUACCAUGUUGAUAGCGGUAAGAGGGUGGUGUUCCUGAGCGGAGGAGAGGUGGUGUCGGUGUGGUGGAGGUCUGAGGCGCUGAGGAAUGCCUGCUCUUCGCUUCUCCCCCUCCGACGUGACGUGGCCAAUGAGAAGGUCUGUAGCGGGAGGGACGGCUCCACCUCGAGUAGGAGGAACCGGAGGAGGAACCGGAGGUGGUGAGCUGGAGGAUCGGGCUUUCUCCGUGUGUGAUGAGGCUGAAGCGGGUCGUUAAUGAGCUCGGCUCUAGCUCUGUAGAACUACAGAGCUGUAGUCCUCACCGACUCCGCUCACUGUUUACAGAGUCGAGCCUCCGAGUUUGUAUUGUAACAGAAGCAACUUAACUAAAUAUAUGCAUAUAUAAAUAAAUUGAUAUAAUAAUUAAUAUAUUCCAAUCAAGUUAUAACGUGCAUUCGAUUGAUUUAUUCUCACAUAUGUCUGUCACAUUUUGCGAUGUGUAGGGUUUAUAAACCCCUGUGUGUAUGUGUGUGUGUCUCUCUCUCUCUCUCCCUUCCUCUGUCCAUGUGUAUGCUUUAUGCAUUAUAACACCCCUCAGUGUGUGUGUGUGUGUGUGUGUGUGUGUGUGUGUGUGUGUGUGUGUGUGUGUGUGUGUGUGUGUGUGUGUGUGUGUCCUAGAUCAGGUAAUUACACCUGAUUAGCAGCAUACUGGCUGUGUCCUUGCAGCCUAUCUGCCACUGCACGCAAACCUUGAAUUCUGAAUAAAACCCAGGAAAGCUCCUACUGUAAAGCCAUCAUUUAUGCAUGAAUCUAUAAGCCCUCAAAGGAAAUAUACCUUUUAAGUAGAUGCAGCGACUACAUCCUCCAGGGCUUGGUGUGUGUGCACGUUUGUGUGAGUUGUGUGUCUGUGCACUCAUGUUUGUUAGCUUUUGUGUAUGCAUGUCGUGUGAGUGUUUGCAUUGUUUGUUUGUGUGUGCGCGGGUUUGCCUUUGUGUGCAUUUGUGUGUGUGUGUGUGUGUGUGUGUGUACGCGUGUUUGGGUGUGUGUGUGAGAGGGAUUCUUAUUCUGUCCGCGUUGGUCUUUCGGUGUAAAUAAACCCUGUUAGCAUUCAGUACCUUGUAGCAUGGUGAUUACCUGCAUAGGCGCAUAUGCAGUAACUCAGACAAAUAAAGAAAAAAAAUACUUUAAUAAAUUCUUCACCAGGCGCCUGACCUUCUCUCCUCUUCUCUGCAUGCUGCUGGGUAGAAUGGAGGAAGAGAUGACCUGCAUCAUGGACCCCGUCUAGAGCCCCCACAAAACAGAACAGGGAGAUGGAGCAGGGGUGAUGGGGACGAUGGGGCUCGGUGUUGGGGCGGGGGUGGUAGUGAUGCCUCACAUUCACCCAUUAAUGCAGACUUUCACCCACCGACGGUGGUGUGACCCAUGCAAGGGGACCGCCAGCUCGUCGGGAGCAGUUAGGGUGAGGCGUCUCGCUCAGGGACACCUCCACACUUGAACCAGCAACCUUCCGGUUACCAGCCGACCUGCUCCACCUCCUCCAAUCACCCAGUUCACAGCCAGGCAGGGUGGACAGAACCCUGUUGAGUUGUUCAUGCUGACGGCUCUGCCUGCUGGCUGGGCUGGGAGGGGGAGGGGCCGGAUUCUACACAUCGAGACUUUAAUGAAUCUGCUUGAAAUGCAAAUCGUGUUUUACAGCACCACUGAAUUUUCAUUUGUCUUCUGUUUGCUAGAGCUUUGGGUGCGGGCACCUUACACACGCACACACACACACACGCACGCACGCACGCACGCACGCACGCACGCACACAUACACACACACACACACACACACACAAAUUGGCAGUGUGUGAAUGGAAAUUGAAUCAACAAUGUAAUCAAUUCAUUAGACAUUGUUGCAGCCAAUCAGCUCGCUUCAUGAUCAUCUUUUUUUAAAGGCACAGGAGACAGAAGCCCUCGUCCACGAGCUGCGUAUCAUCUCCUCUGCCCUGGUCCUAGCGGGGUCUCAGGUGUGAGGGUCACCUGACAGGGGUUCAGCUGUUCAUCUGAUCACAUGAUGAACAAACACUGGUCUCUCGUCAUGAGGAGAGGAGACGAGGAGAUGAGACGAGGAGAGGCGAUGAGGAGAGGAGAUAAGGAGUGAGUGUGUUUGAGGAGAGAGGAGUGAGUGUGUCUGAGGAGUGUGUUGAGAGUUGAGUGUGUUUGUGUUUUGGUAUUUCACACCUUAUUGAUCGGCCUCAGAGAAAUGUGUUCUUGCUUUUAAUUUAUAAUACCUCUCCCAUCUCACUGAAUGCUGGCCAUGUGUGUAUUCUGUUGCGGGGGCAGCAGACCAGAUCCUCUCAGAAGACAACCCACGUGCAAACAGGCACUACGUUUGAAUUGGCAUUCUCAUGUGUUCAUGGAGCAGGUGCCUCAUCCGUGUACCAACACGGGCCAUCUGCAGGCCCCAGAGUGGAGCUAUGAUGAGCUGCAGUAUGGGGGGUUUCUGGCAGUUUCCCCCUCAGAUGAGCCUGGUUUUCUGGGUUUUCUGGGAGGCUGAGAGGCCCUGAGAGCAGAGCCUGAAGAGACGCCCACGGGCAGGAGUCUGGACGGAGGAGCGUGGAGAUAAGAACGCAGACUCAUGCGGAGACUGCAGGGGGCCGGGAUCCUAGCAGGGAGGAGAACGCGUGGGUGCUCUCUGCAGACCCACUCGCUCCCCCGAAGGGCCCAGCCCACAUAAACACUGUUUCCUCCUACAUUAGUACCUCCUGAGUCAUCAGAAAACAGAGAACAUUGAAUCAUGACGGCACGACGCAGAACCCUAGAGGCGGCCAUUAGUGAGGACAUUCGCUCAUUAACCUGGUAUUUGGAAAACUUCCCCGCAGACGCUUGCACACAAUGUUGUGUUGUUCUGUUGUUAAGAGGGGAUUAAAAAAGGCCAUUACAGCACCCCCUGCUGGCCCAAGAGGCUGCAUUUUCCCCUUUCCUCGACUGCCUGCCCUACCGUCCUAAUCAGAACGGAGUGCGUGAGCGUGAGUUGAUAUGAGGACAUGUCUGUCUCUGGUUUCCUGCUGUUUAUGUCUUGAUGUCUCGCGUGAUGAAUUCACAUCUUUAGUUAAUUGGAGGAUAUUUCAGUAAUUAUUUUAUCCAAGGGACUUGUGGCCGGGAAAACUCUACAUUACCCCGAUUGAAUGUUGAUCUGAAAGGCUUUAUGUUUAGGAGUUUAUGCCAAUAAAAC
ensembl:lncRNA